GACGAACGCUGGCGGCGUGCCUAAUACAUGCAAGUAGAACGCCGUUGCGAACGGGUGAGUAACGCGUAGGUAACUGCCUCAUAGCGGGGGAUAACUAUUGGAAACGAUAGCUAAUACCGCAUACUGUGAGAUGGAUCUGCGUUGUAUUAGCUAGUUGGUGAGGUAAAGGCUAACCAAGGCGACGAUACAUAGCCGACCUGAGAGGAUGAUCAGCCACACUGGGACUGAGACAAGGCCCAGACUCCUACGGGAGGCAGCAGUGGGGAAUCUUCGGCAAUGGACGGAAGGCUGACCGAGCAACGCCGCGUGGAUGAAGAAGGCCUUCGGGUUGUAAAGUACUUUCAGCGAGGAGGCGUUACUCGCAGAAGAAGCACCGGCUAACUCCGUGCCAGCAGCCGCGGUAAUUC
rnacentral:rRNA from 1 species